rnacentral:rRNA from 1 species
GAUGAACGCUGGCGGCGUGCCUAAUACAUGCAAGUCGAACGAACAGAUGAGGAUCUUGCUCCUCUGACGUUAGCGGCGGACGUGUGAGUAACAUGUGGAUCACCUACCUAUAAGACUGGUAUAACUUCGGGAAACCGGUGCUAAUACCGGAUAAUAUCUUGAUCCGCAUGGUUCAAUAGUGAAAGACGGUUUUGCUGUCACUUAUAGAUGGAUCCGCGCCGCAUUAGCUAGUUGGUAGGGUAACGGCUUACCAAGGCAACGAUGCGUAGCCGACCUGAGAGGGGGAUCGGCGACACUGGAGGUGAGCCGCGGUACAGGGUCCUAGGGGAGGCAGAGGUAGGGAAUGGUGGGCAAAGGGCGGAAGACUGACGGAGCGGCGCCACGUGAGUGAUGAAGGUCUUCGGAUCGUAAAACUCUGUUAGGGGGGAAAAACAAAUGUAUAAGGAGCUAUGCACGUCGUGACGGUACCUGAUCAAGAAGCCACGGCUAACUACGUG